UCCGGUUGAUCCUGCCGGACCCCACUGCUAUCGAGGUGGGACUAAGCCAUGCUAGUUGAACGACCCGGACUAUGGCGGGAAGUGGCAGACUGCUCAGUAGCACGUAACUAACCUACCCUUGGGACGGGUACAACCCCGGGAAACUGAGGUUAAUACCCGAUAGGUGUGGAAUCCUGGAAUGGUACCACGCCCAAAUGUAAACGCAUCCAUGUUUGCGUACACGCCCGAGGAUGGGGCUGCGGCCGAUCAGGCAGUUGGUGAGGUAACGGCUCACCAAACCUUUGACCGGUACGGGCCAUGAGAGUGGUAGCCCGGAGAUGGGCACUGAGACAAGGGCCCAGGCCCUACGGGGCGCAGCAGGCGCGAAACCUCCACAAUUCACGAAAGUGAGAUGGGGUGACCUCGAGUGCCGCCUGAAGAAGGCGGCUUUUCCAUUGUGUAAUGAGCCGUGGGAAUAAGAGGGGGGCAAGACUGGUGUCAGCCGCCGCGGUAACACCAGCCCCUCGAGUGGUGGGGAUGAUUAUUUGGCCUAAAGCGUCCGUAGCCUGCUCUGUAAAUCUUUCGUUAAAUCCAGCGUCCUAAGCGUUGGGCUGCGAGAGAGACUGCAGAGCUAGAGGGUGGGAGAGGUCAGCGGUAUUCCUGGGGUAGGGGCGAAAUCCAUUGAUCCCAGGAGGACCACCAGUGGCGAAGGCUGCUGACUAGAACACGCCUGACGGUGAGGGACGAAAGCUGGGGUAGCGAAUCGGAUUAGAUACCCGAGUAGUCCCAGCCGUAAACGAUGCAGGCUAGGUGUUGGGUUGGCCACGUGCCAGCUCAGUGCCACAGGGAAGCCAUUAAGCCUGCCGCCUGGGGAGUACGGCCGCAAGGCUGAAACUUAAAGGAAUUGGCGGGGGAGCACAA
rnacentral:rRNA from 1 species